rnacentral:lncRNA from 1 species
ACCUAAUUAAUUUAUCAAACCAAGUUACCAAAGUUCACUAUAAUUCAAAUACAUAUAUCACUUAUACCAAAAUCACAAAUUUACCUUAAUCUCUUAUCAAUAUGUAGGUUGAUUAUAUAAACAAAAUAUUAUUCAUAAUAUUUACAUAAGCUAAAUUUUGACUAAAAUCGUACAAAAGCCUAUACAUGUCAUAUAAACCAUAUUGAAUGUUUCAAAAACUACCGAGAUAAGCUGAAUAGUGUGACUUGAGUGCUGAUCUGACCGUCCAACCUUCUGAAAAUCUACAAAAACAUUAAACAAUACAAAUAAGCUUAAUAAAGCUUAGUAAGUUUGACAGGUUAAAUAAUACAAAAAAAUACAUUCGUAUUCAAAUCAAUACAGAAAAAUAAAUAACAUGACUUUCAAGUUCAUUAAAAAAAUCACUUUACCAAAAUCUUUUCAUUCAAAGAAUGAAUUACGGAUAAGAGUACAUCGUCAACAAAAGCUCAUAAGAGUUGAGCCUCCCGAAUACACCAACAGAAGCUCAUAAGAGCUAAUUCACCCAAUUAUGCCAAAUAGAAAGUAAAACACGAGAGUUCGGAAAAUUUUAAACCCCGAUUUACUUGGGUAAAAUGCUGAUAUCUCCCUCUAGUACCAUCAUACACCAAAUUACUAUUGUACUCAAAUCUUGUGUUCCAUUCAAACCGAAUAUCCAAUUCAAUGUUAUAAUUCCAACAAUAAUUCAUUUCCAACAAUAGAAUAAAUACAUAAUACCAUUCAUCAAAUUUAUACAAAUAUUAAAUUUUAACCGUACGAACUUACCUAGAUUGAAUUGUACUAAUUAUAGAAAUUCAGGGAUUAUUCCACUAUUUUUCCUUUUUCACGAGUAUCUAUGGGAUCUUAAUCUAAAAUAUAAAAUUAUUCAUUUAUUAGCAUAUAUUCCAUUUCUAAUUCAUUUCACAGUUAAUCCCCUUUUAUUUUUAUAAUUUACACAAUUAGCCCAAACAUUUACAAUUUUUGCAAUUUAAUCCCUUAAUUAGUUAAUUUAUCAAAUUAACUAAUUUUAUCAAUCAAUAAUAUAUCCAAAUAUUCUAGGCCUCCAUACAGCCCCUAAUAAAUCAAAAAUUCACUAGUACACCCUAAUAUUUUAAUCUUUUCGCAAUUCAAUCCUAAAAUCAAAAUUUAACAAAAUCAUUUUAUAAAAUCAUUAUACAGCAAAAUCAAAACUCUAAAUCUAUGUUAUUUAUAAAAAAAAAUCCGAUAUUUAUCAAUGGAAACUUCCAAAAUUUUUAGUAAAAUAAAAAACAAAGGUAUAGUUUAGUUGGACCUAAUUGUAACAAUUUAAAAAACAUAAAAUUAUAAGAAACGAGUAAGAAUUGAACUGACAUGAAGCAAAAAUAUGAAGAACCAGCUUAAAUUCUCUCUCCUAUGUCUGUUUAGGCUGAAUUUGAAGAAGAAAUGUCUAGAAAACCUUUAAAUUCAAUUUUUUUCCUUAUUUCAAGUAAAUUACAAUUUUUCCAUUGAAUCAUUUUAUUUUAUUAUUUUUUCCUCUUAUACCAUCUCAUCUUUUAAUUUAGGUUUAUUUAUUACUUAUGUCCUUCCUCAUUUAUUAAUCAAGCCAUUUAAUCACUUUAUUAUUAUAAUUAGCAAAUUUUGCACCUUUUUCAAUUUAGUCAUUUUUAAUUAAUUAACUAUUGAAACGUUAAAAUUUUUCAACAAAACUUUAGUACCACCUUAAUGACGCUACGUAAAUAUUUAUAAAAAUAUUUAAGGCUCGGUUUAUAGAAACGAAGUCCUGAUACCUCACUUUCUAAAACCACUUGACCUAAUAAAUCAUUAUAAAACAUAAAUUUUCAAAUAAAAAACCCCUUUUAAAACCAUAUUUGACUAGUAAAUAUUAAAUAAUAAAAUUUACGAGCUUACUCGUCGGAUUUGGUGGCCUCAAACCACUGUUUCCGACACCACUAAAAAUUGGGUUGUUACAAAUUGGGUUCUUAAACUUUCAAAAUGCAUCAAAAAGGUCCUCAAACCUUUAAAAAAAAAAGCAAUUUAACCCUUACUUUUUUUUACACUCAAUUUGGUGCUUGAACUUUCAAAAUUUAUAAAAAAUACCUUCAAACUUUUUCAAAAAAAGCAAUUAAGCCCCUACUUUUAUUAAAAAUUAUAAAAAUUAAAAUUUAUAAAAUCUAUAAAUAUUAUAAAAUUUUAAUAAAUAUUCAAAUAUUAAAAAUUUAUUAAAAAUUAUAAAAUAUAUAGAAAUAUAAAAUUUUACAAAAUCUUAAGAAGAUUAUACAAAAUGUAAAGAAAUAUAAUGUAAUACCCCAUACCCGUACCUGAGACUGGAAUAGGAUACGAGGCAUUACCGAGAUUUUCAGAAUAAUUUCAAUUAAUUUAUAUUAUUUAGUAUUCAUUUUCAUGUUUCAUGUAACAUACUUUUCAUAUAUUCAAUUCAAAAUAUCAUAUAAAAUACGAUACAAUACUUAAAUUGUCAUAUUUACAUGAUCAUUCAAGAUAUACGAACCUACCUGACUAAAUUGCAAAAAUACCAAGAUUUAGGGGCAUAUUGGUAAUUUAUCAUUUUUCCAAAUUUCACCCAAUCUUAAAUUAAUAGUUUCAUUCAAUUCAUUAAUUUAGAUAAUAAAACAAUUCAUUCCCUUCAACUUAGUCAUUUUUGACAUUUUUAUAAAAUUGUCCCCUAAAGUUUUACUUUUAUUCAAUUUAGUCCAUGAGCUUAAAACAUGCAAAUUAGCCAUGCUAACUGAAUAUUCAUAUAUAUUUUCCUCCUCCUCCUCUCCAUUCCACAUCCUUAAUGUAUAUAACACACUUGUAAGUAACAUUAUCUAUAAUUUUUAUUAUUUACUUUUAUGGAAUAGAUAUUCAAGCUAUCCAUCUGUGUCAUAGUCCCUAAAUUAUUUAUAUCUGGAGCUAUAAAACUCCAAAUUAAAAUCUGCUAAUUUUUCCUGAAACUAGACUCAUAUAUCUUCUUACCAUAAAAUUUUCAGAAUUUUUGGUUUAGCCAAUAAGUACAGUUUAUUCUUUAAAGUUACCCUUGUUCUGCUAUCUGGCAGUUUCGACCCUUCUUCACUAAAAAUUAAUUAUCUCACAGUAAAAAACUCAGAUGAUAUUCCAGUUGAUUUCUCCUGAAAAUAGACUCAUUAGGGAUUCUAAACAUAUAACUUUAAGCCUCUAAUUAUUUUUAUCCAAUUUUUGGUGAUUUUCCAAAGUCAGAACAGGAGAAUCAGAAUUCAUUCUAACUUUGUCUCACAAAAUUCAUUAUAUCUCAUAAUUUACUAUUCAAUUGCUUAUACUGUUUCUUCUAUAAGAAACUAGACUCAAUAAGCUUUAAUUCCAUAUUUUAUUCAUCCUCUAAUUAAAUUUCUAAAAUUUUUGGCGAUUUUUCAAACUUAGACUACUGUUGCUGUCCAAAAUAGUCUUAGUGCAAAAUGUUGAUUUUCUACUUUUAAUUUCAAUUUAAUCCUAACUAAAUUCACUUGCUUUUCUAUCUUAAUUCAUACUUUACUUCUACUCAAUUUUUAACCAAACUUAGACAUAAUUAUCUAUUUUUCAUUAUAAAACCAUAAUUUCAAAAUUCUUUCAAUUUAGUCCUUAAAGCAUAAAACUUAUGAAUCACUUUACAAUUCAAUCCUUAUAUCAUUUCUAACUUGAAUUUCUAUCAAUUUAGCCCUUAAUUCAUCAUUUUAUUUAACAUGGAUAAUAUCUAGAAAUCUAAUAACUUUCAAAAUAUCAACUUAAUUUCAUCAAAACUUUGUUCUGAAACUUCUAAAACAUCAAAAUUAAGUAAAAAGGGCUUGAUUAACUUACCUAUUAAAGCUUAAAGCUUCAAACCUUAAAUUUUCCCUUUUCCAUCUUUCUUUCUUUCUUUCUUUCUUUCUUUUUCUCCCCUGCUCUCUGUUUCGUUUCAUUCUGUUUCUUUUCUAUCUUCCUUC